AAACUUUCAACAACGGAUCUCUAGGCUCUUGCAUCGAUNAANAACGCANUGAAAUGCGAUACGUAAUGUGAAUUGCAGAAUCUCGUGAAUCAUUGAAUCUUUGAACGCACAUUGCGCCCUGUGGUAUUCCAUAGGGCAUGCCUGUCUGAGCGUCAGCU
rnacentral:rRNA from 1 species